ACCCUUUCAUAUAUUCUUGUAACCCAGUUUUUAGGUUGCAACCCCCAGGCUGAGAAACACUGGUGUAUGGUACAG